rnacentral:ncRNA from 1 species
AAAUCCCGUCUGGCUAAGGUCUAACCAAACCACCAGUAGCGAGUUUUGCACUUAUGACAGUAAUGUUAUGAGUAAAGCGUAAACAGCGAGAAAGUAUGGUUAAAAGGCAAUUCAGCCCGAAAUGUUACCAAUUAAAAGGCAGGCGUGCUAAUUGCCACGGAAUGCAAUAUUUAAAUAAUCGUUAAGGUGAGAUUAUUCAAGCUUUUACGGGGUCAA